ACCAAAAUGGCGGGUCAAGUCAUACAAAUCCUUUUUCUCUUUACGUUAGCUUUUCGACAUGGAGUUUCUCCUUACAUAAUGCAUUAGUGAUAACUGUUAUUGGCAAACGAGACGUGACAUGUCAGUCCUUGAGAAACUCACCAAAGAGGAACAUGACAGUGAUCAGGAAUGUCAUUUGUAUGUAGAAGCAAAAAUCAAUCAAUGGCCCAUUGUGUACACUGAUGACUAUAAUAUUGGUUUCAUGGGUUUGGAAAGGCUUCAUCCAUUUGAUUCAGGAAAAUGGGGGAAGGUUUUUCAGUAUCUUAAAGAUGCAAAGAUGGUAGAUGAUAGCACUGUUGUGACACCCAGAGAAGCUACCAAUGAUGAUUUGUUGGUUGUACACACAGAGAGCUAUUUAGAUAGCCUAAGGUGGAGUGCCCGUGUUGCCAUGAUAUGUGAAGUGCCUCCCCUUGCCCUUCUGCCAAACUUUAUUGUGCAGCGUAAAGUCCUCAGGCCAAUGAGGAUUCAGACUGGUGGAUCAAUACUGGCAGCUAAGCUUGCAAUUGAAAGAGGCUGGGCAAUAAAUAUUGGGGGUGGAUUCCAUCACUGCUCUGGGUCCCAAGGAGGGGGCUUCUGUGCUUAUGCAGAUAUAACAUUAGCCAUCAAGUUUCUUUUCAAGCAUGUGGAUAGUGUGAAUAAAGCCAUGAUCCUUGAUCUCGAUGCCCAUCAGGGUAAUGGUCAUGAAGCUGAUUUUAAUGGAGAUGAUCAGGUGUAUAUCAUAGACGUCUACAAUGCUUACAUUUACCCAGGGGAUACCAAAGUCAAAGGAGCAAUAAAGAAGAAUGUGCAGCUAAGACAUCAUACAGAUGAUGAAACAUAUAUUCCACUGUUGAAGAAGCACAUACCAGAAGCUUUAAAUGAGUUUAAUCCUGAUAUCAUAGCAUAUAAUGCAGGGACAGAUAUUCUUAUUGGGGAUCCUCUUGGUAACUUGGCAAUAACACCACAAGGAAUCAUUGAGAGAGAUCAAAUUGUGUUUCAAGAAGCUCGGCAGAGAGGCAUUCCAAUCUUUAUGUUGACCUCUGGAGGAUACCAGAGGAGAACUGCGAGAAUUAUUGCAGACUCUAUCCUAAACUUACAGGAACAGGGCCUUAUAAGCUGCAAUUAUUCAGAUUCUGUGUAGUUAGAAACCAGGUCAGACCCUCAAUUGAUACUGUUGAUGUAAUAAGGUAUUAGGUCCCUCUUUGUUGUUACCAGCUGUUUCAGACCCAGGACCAAGGGGAAACAGAAACAAGAGUGAAAGUAGAAUGACCUAUAACACCUUUUAGAACAAUCUGUAAUUGAGAUUUACAAGUUUAUGUUCCACAAAUUAUGAAUUGAAAGUACAGUGAAAUAUUACUUAUGCUGAAGUAUUAACUGAUAAAAUUUGAAGAAGCUGAAACUUUGAUAUUAACUGUUAUUAUACAGCUAGUAGGGCCUGUGGGUACUAUGAAGCAAAAUCUGUGUUCUGGUUGGCUACCCAAGUGGGUAAGAUGGGACUAACUUGCCUGCUUGGGAUUGACCGCUUUGAUUAGUAGCAAGUAUUUGUUUAUAAACAGGAUUUGUCUUGGCAGCACUGGACUGGGCUUUUUUUUUCCAACACUUAACAAUAAGUUUGAUGUAAAUAUGAAUAAAAAUGUUAUUGUCUCACCAGUAUAUUUUUAAGCCUCAUUCUAGUCAAAUAAAUAGUAUUAAUGUACUCUCUGGACAUUUCUAGAGAAAAUUCAGGAGUCAGAAUUUUUAAUUAAAAUGCAAUCCAGGUUUUAUUU